rnacentral:tRNA from 1 species
UGCAUCGGCCGGGAAUCGAACCCUGGCCGCCAGCGUGGCAGGCGAGCAUUCUACCACUGAACCACCGAUGG